GGGUGUGCAGGCUUGACCUGUGGCCUGAGCUAUCCCAAUUUGCGAUAGAACUUCUGGCCUGCCCCGCUUCAAGUGUCCUGUCAGAAAGGACCUUCAGUGCAGCAGGAGGUAUUGUCACUGAGAAGAGAAGUCGCCUAGGUCAAAAAAGGCUAGAUUACCUCACCUUUAUUAGGAUGAAUGAGGGAUGGAUCCUGAAGGGACUGACACCGGGCGAUACAUU